AUUAUUUUGGCAGAUUAGUGCAUUAAAUUUAGAAUUUAAGUAUGUAUAUUAGUACAAAUAAUA
rnacentral:tRNA from 1 species